rnacentral:lncRNA from 1 species
AAUGAAUGCUGCCAUAUAUAGCUAAGAGAUGAUCUCUGUUGCUCUCCAGCACCAAAGCCCUAAUUGGCUAGUGAGAUUGAUUAACAUGUGAAGCAAAGCUAAGUGUCCUGAAGGCAACAGAAGCACAGCUAGGCAGCUAGAUCAAGGUGAACAGCACAGCAAGAUGACAAAGGGGCCAGAAGCAAUACUUCAAAGUUCAGACUGUGUUGAAGAAAGGCAAUAAGCA